rnacentral:rRNA from 1 species
GGCUCCCAGUAGACGACUGGGUUGAUAGGCCGGAUGUGGAAGCCCUGUGAGGGGUGGAGCUGACCGGUACUAAUAGGCCGAGGGCUUGUCCUC